UACGUAGGUGGCAAGCGUUGUCCGGAUUUACUGGGCGUAAAGAGCGCGCAGGCGGUCGAUCAAGUCGCGUGUGAAAGCCCCCGGCUCAACUGGGGAGGGUCACGCGAUACUGAUCGACUCGAAGGCAGGAGAGGGUAGUGGAAUUCCCGGUGUAGUGGUGAAAUGCGUAGAUAUCGGGAGGAACAUCUGUGGCGAAGGCGGCCACCUGGACCAGCACUGACACUGAGGCACGAAAGCGUGGGGAGCAAACAGG
rnacentral:rRNA from 1 species